GAAUUAUAGACAGGCAGAAAGACAGACAGAUUGAAAGAUAGGCAGGCAGAUGGAACGAUAGACAGUUGGAAUUACAGACAGGCAGAAAGACAGACAGAUGGACAGAUAGGCAGGCAGAUGGAAAGAUAGACAGUUGGAAUUACAGACAGGUGGAAAGAUAGGCAGGCAGAUGGAAAGAUAGACAGUUGGAAUUACAGACAGGCAGAAAGACAGACAGAUUGAAAGAUAGGCAGGCAGAUGGAACGAUAGACAGUUGGAAUUACAGACAGGCAGAAAGACAGACAGAUUGAAAGAUAGGCAGGCAGAUGGAAAGAUAGACAGUUGGAAUUAUAGACAGGCAGAAAGACAGACAGAUUGAAAGAUAGGCAGGCAGAUGGAAAGAUAGACAGUUGGAAUUACAGACAGGCAGAAAGACAGACAGAUUGAAAGAUAGGCAGGCAGAUGGAACGAUAGACAGUUGGAAUUACAGAAAGG